GUUUUUUUGUUUUUUGUUUUUUUUUUUUUAUGCUACCCUGUCCUUGUGCAGCUAUGAAAGAAAUUAGGCUGACAAAUUCAUAGUUUUGUGUGUGUGUGUGUGUGUGUGUGUGUGUGUGUGUGUGUGUGUGUGUGUGUAUGUGUGUGUGUGUGUGUGUGUGUGUGACCAAUGAAAGCCUUUGGCUAAAGGUUUGGCUGGAGUCGGUGCCAAGAUAGGCUUUGCCUCUGCAAGCAGUUCAUUAUUUCUUAAUUGCCCAUUUGCAUGCAAUUCUCUAGCCCAGAGGCAGCAGUAAGCAUCCCUUGUACGAUACCCCCAUAGACUCUCAGGCACUCUCGUUUGCUGAGUGCCCACUGCGCUCAUCACCCAGCUGAGAUGCCUUGCAUAUGCUGCAGAGUUUACCUUUGCCAUAGCUCUGGGAGGUAGGCAUUACUGUCUCUGUUUUCUAAGAGGAGAAGACAUAUUCUAAGAGGCUUUAAAUGGAGGAUUUACGACCUCAUCUGUCUGACACCAGAGCCCAUAACUUCUCUUCACCAAUUUUAAAGAACCAUUUGCAGAAGAACUGAGAAUUUUGAACGGAGCAGGCGGUUGAGAAAGGUAAAUUAGAGACUCUAGAUGAGUUAAGGUUGCACGUUCGCCUGAUGGUCAAUUGAAAAGUAGAUCCGAGCAUAAGGAACCCUAGUUGGAUGUCGCUUUCUUUUCUGCCAUUUACUUUAAGGGCAGUUCUUUCAUCCAGUACUAGAUAUGACUGGCCCGUCCUUAAGAGAUGACACGAGUCAAGAGGCAGUGCGUUCGUUUACCUAGUGAUCGCCUCUGAGACUGCCGUAACUGGGAGUGUGUGUCUUGUAAGCAACGAUGACGUGGAUCAAUCAAUCCUGUACAACCAGCCCAUCACACUUUCACUGACCUUCUAUUUAUAAUUGAGUUUCAUUGAAAGAUCGAGUUUCUGUUUGGACAAUUUUUGUGAGGUAAAGGUGAAUUUAUUAUACUUCCAUACUAUUAAGUCUCUAUAUUUGUUAAAGAAAUAAACUGCAGUUCUUAGGCAGUUUGUGUUCUGUGUGUGUGUGUGUGUGUGUGUGUGUGUGUGUGUGUGAAUGCAUGGUACUUAUCUCAACUGUAUUUGGUAUUUCUAAAUUCCCCCUCAACAUUAGCCAGCAUCUCAAACUUUUUCUUUCCCAUUAGGGGAGGGUGGUUUUCUGUUUUGUAUUGUUUUUGAGUUCUAGAAGCUAAAAUGUAUAGUGUGCUUUUUUUUUUAAUGCAUUAACAAUCUUCUACAGAAUUUGAAGAAACUAAACAUAGCGGGAAGCUCAAGAUAAAACACCUAAGAAACUUCCUUUACAGAAAGUGUUUAUAGAGGUUUUAAAAAAGAUUUAUUUUUUGUGUAUGAAUAUUUUACUGGCAUGUAACUAGAUUUACAACGUGAGUGACCGCUGCCCACAGAGAUCAGAAGAAAGGGUCACAUCCUUGGUACUUGAACGAUGAUUGGUUACAAGCCACAGUGCGGGUGCUAGAAACUGAAUUCUGGUGCUCUGGAAGAGCACAAUUACUCCUAAGUUUUGAUCCCUAUCUCUAGGUCAGGACAACUUGAAAGAGUCAGCUCUGCCCUUCUACCAUAUAGGCAAAGGCAGGUGUCAUUAUCCAAGGAGCCAUCUUGCCAGCCCAGGACAAAAUACAUGAGUCAGUUCUCUCACUCUACCAUGUGAGCAGGACGUUGUACAGCGAGCCUCCUUGUAGCCAUUAUAAAAGUUUUAACACUCAAGUCAGAUGCCUUCACAUUUUGGAAACAGUGGAAAUAAUACCUUAGCAUGACCUGAAAAGCAAUCACUACAUACUUGUGAUCAUAAACCUUCCACACUCUAAGGAGUAGAGAAAGCCUGGGACAGGCUCAUUGCUUAAGUGGCAGAAGCUCAGAAUUAUAUCUGGAAGAUGGGUGAGAAGAUCCACUUACCAAGUUCCCCAGCUAGGGUGAUGAAAAUGUUCCCUUUGUUACUUGGAGGCAUCAUCACAUCUCUUAGUAAGGAGUUGUGUGCACAAUGAGCUUGCCACACAAUAGACCAAUCUGUUUUGCCCUUCUGGCAAAGGUCACACAUUUUAAACAAAGGAAACAAGACUCAGGGAAGAAGGCUCUCUAGACUUCCUCUUUGGGCUUUACUCUGAAAUGUCCCCAGCAUGCUCCUGUCUUGUGUUCUCUUUUCACAACUGGUGUACUGUUUUGGGGGACCGUGGGACCUUUAGGAGGUGGCUAUGAACUAGCACAAGUAACACUCCAGAAGAAGGCAUCUGAAUACUGUACCUGCCCCGAAUGCACCUAACAGUCUCUGCUUCUCAUCCAAGAUGACAUGUUCUCUGGCACAGACACAGUCAGCUUGCCUGCCAUGUCAGGAUCCUUUGAAAUCUGCCUGAAACCUGGGCCAAAGUUCAUUACUCUAACCUAUUUCUGGAGAAAACCCUGAGGCGUAAACGUGUCAACAAGACUUCAUCCAGAAGUGAAAGGCUGCUACACUGAAAGAAACAAACUAGAGGAGACGCAGGGGCCUGGAAAGAUUCCCCACGCCCACGGGACAACUCAUAAGUCUUAAAUGUUCACACUAACAAAGUGAUACAGAUUCAGUGACAACCCCAGCGAGCCACCCAAGAUGCUCUUCUGAGAAGUAGGACACACAUUCCUGAAACACAGAGAGCAGAGCCCAAGCAACAGAGCAAAACUGAACAAGCUCAGUGCUGGAGGUGUCAGAAUUACCACUUUCAAAACACAGACAGAGACACAAUAGCCACAUCAUCAUAACGUUGGAGUAAAAGCAGUCACAGAGACCAAUGGAACAGAGUAAAGAUCCUACAAAUAAAGUAGUCCCCAACCAAUUCUCAACGAAAGUGCUAGAAUGCAUGCUAGAAGAGAAGAUGCCCCGAGCUGGACAUCCACAGGAGAAGGCUGAACUUUGAUUGCGGUUGCUCACACUAUAUAGAAAUCAAUUCAAGUAGACCACGAGCUGAAACUAUCAGAAAGAAACACGGGGCACAGGCAAGGAUUUUCUGAACGGGAGUCCCUCAAAUCAGGCAAACAAAAGCACUGAGUAACUAAUGGAACUACAUUAAACUGAAAAGUGGAGGAAUCUGUCAGCAAAGAGAGGAGGUGGCCCACAGCACCCCUCUAACAGAAAGGUAGUAUCCAGAGCGUAGAAAGGAUUCAAAAAGACAAAGAACAGUGACAACGAAUCCCAUUUAAACGUGGACAGAAGACCUGGGCCAUUGGCCACUCGAGGAAAACAGAUCAGAACCAUCCUGAACUGUGCUCUCAUCUGGCUAGAAUACCUGCUGUCCCACGAGCACUCCUAAAGUGCUGGGAAAGGUGUCAAGAAUGCUCAGCUUCAUGGGUGACAACACAGGCGUGUACAGCAGAGUGUCCUUGACACCAGACAUUUGGGAAAGACCUAGGUGGAUGCCCCUCAGCUGAAGAAAUACAAAUGGCAUAAUUAUUAGAAAUGUUCACUGUCAUUAGCCACCUUCAGAACGCAAAUCGGAACCCCAGAGGCUCCCCAAACGUCUGAAGGUAGAGCGGCCACACGAUCCAGAUGUCCUAAGUUUGGAUAUGUUUUUAAAGUAAAUUAUAUCAGUGUACUGA